GCGGGCGUAGCUCAAUGGUAGAGCCCCAGCCUUCCAAGCUGGUCAUGCCGGUUCGAUCCCGGUCGCCCGCUCCA
rnacentral:tRNA from 1 species